GAUUUACUGGGCGUAAAGCGUGCGCAGGCGUCUUGCUAAGUCUUUGGUGAAAGCCCCCGGCCCAACUGGGGAAUUGUCAGAGAAACUAGCAGGAUUGAGUGUGACAGAGGCAGACGGAAUUCCUGGUGUAGCGGUAAAAUGCGUUGAUAUCAGGAGGAACACCAAUGGCGAAGGCAGUCUGCUGGGUCACUACUGACGCUCAGGCACGAAAGCGUGGGGAGCGAACGGGAUUAGAUACCCCGGUAGUCCACGCCGUAAACGAUGGGUGCUAGACAUUCGGGGAUUAGACCCCCUGGGUGUCGAAGCUAACGCGUUAAGCACCCCGCCUGGGGAGUACGGCCGCAAGGCUAAAACUCAAAAGAAUUGACGGGGACCCGCACAAGCGGUGGAGCGUGUGGUUUAAUUCGACGCUAAGCGAAGAACCUUACCAGGGCUUGACAUCUAGCUGCUUGCUCUAGGAAACUAGAGCGUCCUUCGAGGGUGCUAGACAGGUGCUGCAUGGUC
rnacentral:rRNA from 1 species